rnacentral:rRNA from 1 species
GACGAACGCUGGCGGCGUGCUUAACACAUGCAAGUCGAACGAUGAUCAGGAGCUUGCUCCUGUGAUUAGUGGCGAACGGGUGAGUAACACGUGAGUAACCUGCCCCUGACUCUGGGAUAAGCGUUGGAAACGACGUCUAAUACUGGAUAUGAUCACUGGCCGCAUGGUCUGGUGGUGGAAAGAUUUUUUGGUUGGGGAUGGACUCGCGGCCUAUCAGCUUGUUGGUGAGGUAAUGGCUCACCAAGGCGACGACGGGUAGCCGGCCUGAGAGGGUGACCGGCCACACUGGGACUGAGACACGGCCCAGACUCCUACGGGAGGCAGCAGUGGGAAAUAUUGCACAAUGGGCGAAAGCCUGAUGCAGCAACGCCGCGUGAGGGAUGACGGCCUUCGGGUUGUAAACCUCUUUUAGUAGGGAAGAAGCGAAAGUGACGGUACCUGCAGAAAAAGCACCGGCUAACUACGUG